GGAGCUUGCUCCCUUAGGUCAGCGGCGGACGGGUGAGUAACACGUGGGUAACCUGCCUGUAAGACUGGGAUAACUCCGGGAAACCGGGGCUAAUACCGGAUGCUUGAUUGAACCGCAUGGUUCAAUCAUAAAAGGUGGCUUUUAGCUACCACUUGCAGAUGGACCCGCGGCGCAUUAGCUAGUUGGUGAGGUAACGGCUCACCAAGGCGACGAUGCGUAGCCGACCUGAGAGGGUGAUCGGCCACACUGGGACUGAGACACGGCCCAGACUCCUACGGGAGGCAGCAGUAGGGAAUCUUCCGCAAUGGACGAAAGUCUGACGGAACAACGCCGCGUGAGUGAUGAAGGUUUUCGGAUCGUAAAACUCUGUUGUUAGGGAAGAACAAGUACCGUUCGAAUAGGGCGGUACCUUGACGGUACCUAACCAGAAAGCCACGGCUAACUACGUGCCAGCAGCCGCGGUAAUACGUAGGUGGCAAGCGGUUGUCCCGGAAAUUAUUGGGCGUAAAAGCGCGCGCAGGCGGGUUUCUUAAAGUCUGAUGUGAAAGCCCCCCCGGCUCAACCGGGGAGGGUCAU
rnacentral:rRNA from 1 species